AGUAACCGGAGUUCGCGGUGCCGAAGGUGACGUUGUUCAUACAGCCCUGGGGGGACCGCGAGGCACCGGCUCCAGCGCCGGGAGACAGCCCCCGACCCCGGGACACCCCCGGACCCCGGGACACCCCCGGACCCGGACCCCCAACACCUGAGACACCAGCACCCUGAGACACCAGCACCCUGAGGCACUAGCACCCUGAGCCCUGGCACCGUGAGACCCCAACCCCAGCACCCUGAAACCCCCAACCCCUGAGACUCCCAUUGCCCCCAUAGUCCCCCAUCUACCCCACUCCCACCAUUGCCCCCUGCUCCCCCAUUGCCUCCCAUUGCCUUUAUUCCGCCAUUGCCCCCAUCACCAUCCAUUACCCCCAUUGCCACCGCUGUCCCCCAGUCCACCACUGUCCCCCAUUGCCCCCCAUUGCACCCAUGGCCCCCAUUGCCCCCCAUUGCCCCCAUUGCCCCCAUUGUCUCCAUUGCUCCCUGGUCCCCCGUAGCCCCUCAUUGCCCCCAUUGCCCCCACUCCCCCAUUGCUCCCCUGGUCCCGCAUUGCCCCCAUUGCCUCCAUUGCCCUCCAUUGCUUCCCAGUCCCCCACUGCCCCCAUUGCCCCCCAUUGCUCCCCAGCCCCCCAUUGCCCUCAGCCCCUACCUGGGAUGCGGCGCAGACGCCAAAGGCCUUGAAGAUGACGUCCACGACGCGCUGGGACGUCAGGACGUUGCCCCCCACCACAGCAGCCUCGGGCGAGGGGUCCAGGAUGGAGCCCUUGGGGAUCACCACGUGCACCGGGGCCAGGCACCCCUGGGGGGGCACCGUCAGCACCCACCCGAGACCCCCCCUCCGGGAGCAGGGCCAGACCCACACCCAAGGGAAUGGGGGCCCAGGACCCUCCAGCUCCAAGGGAUGGGGGUCCCAGAGCACCCCCCAGGAGAUUUGAGCCCCAUGAGCCCCCAGCUCCAGGGAAUUGGGGUAUCAGACACCCCCCCAAGGGAUUUGAGUUCCAGGACCCCCCACCCCAAGCCCUGAGCCCCCCGGGGCCAGCACGGGGCCGGCAGCACCCACAGCUCCUGCCUGGGCUCCGCUCAGGGUACGGGGGGUCCUUCAGCCCUGGGGGUCCCACAACCCAGGACUCCCAACCCAGGGGUCCCACAGCUCAGGGGGUCCCACGCGGGGUCUCACACUGGGGGGUCCGCACUGGCCCCCCCGCACACCUGGUUGAGGGGCAGGUCCUGCCCCACCAUGCAGCGCAGGCAGUAGAUGAUGGCAGCCAGCGUGACGGCGCGCGGCGCGUUCCAGUUCCCCAGCA
rnacentral:lncRNA from 1 species